rnacentral:rRNA from 1 species
GCGAACGCUGGCGGCAUGGCUAAAACAUGCAAGUCGAACGAGAACCCCGCAAGGGGGGACAGUGGCGAAAGGGUGAGUAAUACGUUUCUACGUGCCCGGAGGUCGGGGAUAGCCAGGGGAAACUCUGAUUAAUACCCGAUGACAUCCCAGGAUCAAAGGCGCAAGUCGCCUCCGGAGCGGGGAACGUCCUAUCAGGUAGUUGGUGAGGUAAUGGCUCACCAAGCCGAAGACGGGUAGCGGGUGUGAGAGCACGGCCCGCCACAUCGGGACUGAGACACUGCCCGGACUCCUACGGGAGGCUGCAGUAACGAAUCUUCCACAAUGCGCGAAAGCGUGAUGGAGCAAUGCCGCGUGCAGGAUGAAGCCCUUCGGGGUGUAAACUGCUGUCAGGGUUUAGCAACUCAAUGAGCAGACCCAAAGGAAGAGCCGACUAACUCUGU